CUCUUUGGGACAGAAACUGUGUUUUACCUCUGGGCUGUCUCCGGUGUGUUCUCUGUUGUAGGAAACAUUUUAUGACUUGAAUAUGGACGGUGUUCAACAUUGGCUCACACACUCAGCAAUACCAUGGACGCUGCAAUAAAGACUCAGAAGCCUGGCUCCUGCUGCUGGCCUUGUGGAAGCCAUCACAUGCUAGGUA
rnacentral:lncRNA from 1 species